UUUUACUAAUAUCUUAUACAAACAAAUUAAUAUCUAUUCUAUAUAGCCCAACUCCUAUCUGUGUAGCAUCCUCGUAAACACACAAUUGAUUCCUAUCUAAAAACUGCUUGACAAAACUCUAUAAAAUUACUAAUUCCUCUGGCCCACUCAAUUAAUCAUUUGCUGCAUUAUCGAAUGUAGGUUCCACCGAUUCUGGUUCUAAAUUCAAAUUUUCCUCGUCCUCUAAUCCAUCUAUCAGCUCCUUUCUCAACUGGUUUGAUAGAUCUUCAUCAUACUCAUCCAAUUCACAGACUUGAGCCUCUAGUUUCAAGAUCUAGGCAUUCUGGAGUUCCAACUGAUGCUGCUACUAACUCAUCUAUUCUGGAACAUCUUCAAUUGACACUUGAGAUUGGCUUCUCACUGUUAACUCUUUCGUCAAUUUUGUCACCUCAACUUGUAAAACUUCUAUUUUGGACCUCAACUUCUUCGUUUCACAUCUAGAUUGGUUACUUAAUGCUUCUUUCUAUUUUAUCAAUAACUCAGCCUUAUAUCUUUUUGCCUGCAACUAGUAUUUGAGUUUCUCCCAUUCCAAACCCCAUGCCUUGCGAUUCUGGAUCAAUUUGUCCACUUGUCCUUCUACAAUCCGUAAGAUGUGUUCUUUUUCUUUCAUCCAAGACUCAUAUUGGUGAAUCCAUUUCUGCUCCAAUACCAACUUGGAUUCUCCAAUUUUAUUUAUCAUCUAUUUUUGCUCUUCAAUUCUUCGAUUUUGCUCUAAUAUCAUU
rnacentral:lncRNA from 1 species